rnacentral:rRNA from 1 species
UACGAAGGGUGCAAGCGUUACUCGGAAUUACUGGGCGUAAAGGGUGCGUAGGUGGUUGUUUAAGUCUGUUGUGAAAGCCCCCGGCUCAACUGGGGAGGGUCACGCGAUACUGUUCGACUCGAAGGCAGGAGAGGGAAGUGGAAUUCCCGGUGUAGUGGUGAAAUGCGUAGAUAUCGGGAGGAACACCAGUGGCGAAGGCGACUUCCUGGCCUGUUCUUGACGCUGAGGCGCGAAAGCUAGGGUAGCAAACGGG